rnacentral:rRNA from 1 species
UACGUAGGGAGCAAGCGUUGUCCGGAAUCAUUGGGCGUAAAGCGCGCGUAGGUGGCCUCAUAAGUCCGCUGUGAAAGUCAAAGGCUCAACCUUUGAAAGCCGGUGGAUACUGUGAGGCUAGAGUACGGAAGAGGCGAGUGGAAUUCCUGGUGUAGCGGUGAAAUGCGCAGAUAUCAGGAAGAACACCCGUGGCGAAGGCGGCUCUCUGGGACGGUACUGACGCUGAGACGCGAAAGCGUGGGGAGCGAACAGG